rnacentral:rRNA from 1 species
ACGGCAGCAUGGGUGCUUGCACCUGAUGGCGAGUGGCGAACGGGUGAGUAAUACAUCGGAACGUGUCCUUGAGUUUGGGAUAACGCGGCGAAAGUUGCGCUAAUACCGAAUACACUCUGAGGAGGAAAGCGGGGGAUCGCAAGACCUCGCGCUCUAGGGUCGGCCGAUGUUGGAUUAGCUUGUUGGUGGGGUAAAAGCCUACCAAGGCUGCGAUCCAUAGCGGGUCUGAGAGGAUGAUCCGCCACACUGGGACUGAGACACGGCCCAGACUCCUACGGGAGGCAGCAGUGGGGAAUUUUGGACAAUGGGGGCAACCCUGAUCCAGCCAUGCCGCGUGAGUGAAGAAGGCCUUCGGGUUGUAAAGCUCUUUCGGUGGGGAAGAAAUUGCAUACUCUAAUACAGUGUGUAGAUGACGGUACCCGCAUAAGAAGCACCGGCUAACUACGUGCCAGCAGCCGCGGUAAUACGUAGGGUGCGAGCGUUAAUCGGAAUUACUGGGCGUAAAGCGUGCGCAGGCGGUUAUGUAAGUCAGAUGUGAAAGCCCCGGGCUUAACCUGGGAAUUGCAUUUGAGACUGCAUGGCUAGAGUGUAGCAGAGGGGGGUAGAAUUCCACGUGUAGCAGUGAAAUGCGUAGAGAUGUGGAGGAAUACCGAUGGCGAAG